GGGUAGGGUUUGGAUUGUUUUUCGGUUUGGGAUGGGCUCGCGGCCUAUCAGCUUGUUGGUGAGGUAAUGGCUCACCAAGGCGACGACGGGUAGCCGGCCUGAGAGGGCGACCGGCCACACUGGGACUGAGACACGGCCCAAACUCCUACGGGAGGCAGCAGUGGGGAAUAUUGCACAAUGGGCGAAAGCCUGAUGCAGCGACGCCGCGUGAGGGAUGACGGCCUUCGGGUUGUAAACCUCUUUCAGCAGGGAAGAAGCGAAAGUGACGGUACCUGCAGAAGAAGCACCGGCUAACUACGUGCCAGCAGCCGCGGUAAUACGUAGGGUGCGAGCGUUGUCCGGAAUUAUUGGGCGUAAAGAGCUUGUAGGCGGUUUGUCGCGUCUGCUGUGAAAAUCCGGGGCUCAACCCCGGACUUGCAGUGGGUACGGGCAGACUAGAGUGUGGUAGGGGAGACUGGAAUUCCUGGUGUAGCGGUGAAAUGCGCAGAUAUCAGGAGGAACACCGAUGGCGAAGGCAGGUCUCUGGGCCACUACUGACGCUGAGAAGCGAAAGCAUGGGGAGCGAACAGGAUUAGAUACCCUGGUAGUCCAUGCCGUAAACGUUGGGGAACUAGGUGUGGGUCUCAUUCCACGAGAUCCGUGCCGCAGCUAACGCAUUAAGUUCUCCGCCUGGGGAGUACGGCGCCAGGGCUAAAACUCAAAGGAAUUGACGGGGGCCCGCACAAGCGGCGGAGCAUGCGGAUUAAUUCGAUGCAACGCGAAGAACCUUACCAAGGGCUUGACAUAUACCGGAAACUUCCAAGAGAUGGUUGCCCCCUUUGGGUCGGUAUACAGGUUGGUGCAUGGUUGUCGUCA
rnacentral:rRNA from 1 species